AUUGAACGCUGGCGGCAGGCUUAACACAUGCAAGUCGAGCGGGGUGAUGGUGCUUGCACUAUCACUUAGCGGCGGACGGGUGAGUAAUGCUUAGGAAUCUGCCUAUUAGUGGGGGACAACAUCUCGAAAGGGAUGCUAAUACCGCAUACGUCCUACGGGAGAAAGCAGGGGAUCACUUGUGACCUUGCGCUAAUAGCUGAGCCUAAGUCGGAUUAGCUAGUUGGUGGGGUAAAGGCCUACCAAGUCGACGAUCUGUAGCGGGUCUGAGAGGAUUAUCCGCCACACUGGGACUGCGACACGGCCCAGACGCCGGCGGGAGGCAGCCGUGGGGAAUAUUGGACAAAGGGGGGAACCCUGAUCCAGCCAUGCCGCGUGUGUGAAGAAGGCCUUAUGGUUGUAAAGCACUUUAAGCGAGGAGGAGGCUCUUUUGGUUAAUACCCAAGAUGAGUGGACGUUACUCGCAGAAUAAGCACCGGCUAACUCUGUGCCAGCAGCCGCAGUAA
rnacentral:rRNA from 1 species